rnacentral:snoRNA from 1 species
AAACCAUGGUGUGGGCAUUGAGCUUGGUAGCCCUUGAAUCUCUCCCAGGCUUCACUGAAGCCUUCCAAGUUCUUCUGUUGAAAGCUGGAAAUCUCAGCUUAGCAGUUC